GAGGUUUUAAUGUGGUUCGGCCAACCAUGCCUACGUCCACGGAUGAGAGAGAAUAAUUCCACUAUACAAUAGAGAAUAUUACAGAGGAUAGAACCAGAUACAACUAUUGGGUUCCCGAAACAUCCCAUGUUUCCCCACUCCUUGUAUCCAUACCUUACUACGAGCCCUCUUGCUCCACCAGGUACCUCCCGUUCUUCCUCACAUCUCUAUCCACCUUGUAUAGUCUCUAUAGGCCCAUCUCCAUCUCAUAACUUUUUCCCCUCAUGACCUAGAAUAUUUAUAGAGAUAUUUCCAACAACCUUCCUUAUUCUAUAAGGAAGUCUAAUAUUACAAUAAUAUAUCAACCGAGAAAUAUUCUAUAUAAUAUUCUUUACAAAAAAGGAAUCUAUACUAAUUAGGAAUUUGGGACACUUCCUAACAAUCUCCACCUUGGACCAAAUUACAUGAAGUUAAUCUUCAAUCUCUCCAUGACACAAACCUUUUUGUAUCAUAUCACCACAAAAGAGCAAUCGACUCCACCUUCAGUGAAAAUUCCUUUUGUUUUCAUCUUGUGUGCUUUGUGAUCUUUUACUCUUCCAGAAAUCUUCAACCCAAGCUCUGAUACCAAUUGUAGUGUCAGCGAAAGCUUUGAUGCCAACAAUGUUAGUUCAAGAACACAAAGAUAAAACAAUCAAACAUACGGUACACGAGGUUUUAACGUGGUUCGGCUAACCAUGCCUACGUCCACGGAUGAGAGAGAAUAAUUCCACUAUACAAUAGAGAAUAUUACAGAGGAUAGAACCAGAUACAACUAUUGGUUUCCCGAAACAUCCCAUGUUUCCCCACUCCUUGUAUCCAUACCUUACUACGAGCCCUCUCGCUCCACCAGGUACCUCCCGUUCUUCCUCACAUCUCUAUCCACCUUGUAUAGUCUUUAUAGGCCCAUCUCCAUCUCAUAACUUUUUCCCCUCAUGACCUAGAAUAUUUAUAGAGAUAUUUCCAACAACCUUCCUUAUUCUAUAAGGAAGUCUAAUAUUACAAUAAUAUAUCAACCGAGAAAUAUUCUAUAUAAUAUUCUUUACAAAAA
rnacentral:lncRNA from 1 species